rnacentral:rRNA from 1 species
UACGUAGGGGGCAAGCGUUGUCCGGAUUUAUUGGGCGUAAAGAGCGUGUAGGCGGCCAGGUAGGUCAGCUGUGAAAACUCGGAGGCUCAACCUCGAGACGCCGGUUGAAACCAUCUGGCUAGAGUCCGGAAGAGGAGAGUGGAAUUCCUGGUGUAGCGGUGAAAUGCGCAGAUAUCAGGAAGAACACCCGUGGCUAAGGCGGCUCUCUGGCCUUACCUGACGCUGAGGAGCGAAAGCGUGGUAGCGAACAGG